GUGGUUGUCCAACACUAGACCGACCAACAAACCUGGCUCAAUCAUCGUUGGUUACAAUUGAAUAGUUUUCAUAGAACACAGAAUUCCAGUAGGUAGGGAAAAAAAAGAUUUUUUGUUUGUUUGUUUUGAACGUGAUUUUCACAAGCGCCAAAUGUGUGUAAGGAUAUGAAGACGCUGUUCAUUGGUUGAAGCCCUCGUCUCAGAAGCAAUCAGACGUCCCUUGUCCACUGGGGCUAAUGGUACUGAAACGGUAGUAGCUAGCAUUUUUAGGAGGGGUGGAUACAUUGACACAUUGUCUGGCAAUCUUGACAUACAAAGUGGAUGCCUCUAUGCCACAGCGAAAUAUACCUCUUCCAAUUUCCACAAGACUUCAGCCAUGGCCACGACAGGCACAGGCGCAACUGAGCCAAACCGGCCAGGCCCCCAGAGGAAGAUGUCCACCACAGGGGAAAGCUUGUACAAGGUGCUCGGCCUGGAGAAAGGAGCUUCCGCUGAGGACGUCAAGAGAGCCUACAGGAAACUAGCGUUGAAGUACCACCCAGACAAGAACCCAGACAACCCAGAGGCUGCAGAUAAGUUUAAAGAGAUCAACAACGCCAACUCCAUCCUGAACGAUGAUGGCAAGAGGAGGAUCUACGACGAGUACGGCUCCAUGGGCCUCUAUGUGUCCGAGCAGUUUGGAGAGGAGAGCGUUAAAUACUACUUCCUCAUGUCCAAGUGGUGGUUUAAGACCAUGGCCGUGUGCUGCACCGUCUUCUCCUGCUGCUGCUGCUGUUGCUGCUGCUGUUUCUGCUGUGGGAAGUGCAAGCCGCCGGAGGAGGAUGAUCACUACCAGUACGUGGACCCAGAGGACCUGGAGGCCCAGAUCAAAGCUGAGACGGACAGAGGCCAACAAGAAGCUCUUUGUUUUAUCCUCUCCCAUCAGUGGUCCCCAGAACAGGGACAGGGGCUGGGACAGAGGCGAGAUGAGGAAGAUGCAUGUAAUCCUGUCAGAUCUCAGAGGAUGCUCUCUGCCUCGGCCUCUUGUGUCGUGUCCUUAACUGGUUGGUCUGAGGACAGGACUCUCAGCUCCUUCACUCAUGUUGCCUCUUCACACAGCAGAUCACUCAAUAGAAAACAGUCCCAAGGACUAUACUCCUAAUUGUCUUGUUUUUUGUUCUGACGAGUGAUCAGUGACCAUGGUGACCCCAUAGUCACGACCCCUAGCCCAAGUGACUAUCACACCAUUUGAACUUUCAGUAUAAGGCUUUAUAAGCAAAAUGACGAUGCUAUUGGUUUCAGAGAUAUUCACAACAUGUUCAGGCGAAUACCUAGAUGAUAUGAAUAAUCUCCUCACCGUAUCACACAAAAACAAGAACUGCGCUUCAUUUACAGUAACUGAAAACCAAACCAAACAUGACAAGCUAACAGCCUCAGGGCAGUAUGAGUGUGGGGAUAACAUAUCAGUAUACUCUGGCCCAAUGAGUAGGCAUGGUUUAUCUCAUUCUGACAGAAAGGUGUUUCUGUACGUUUGUGUUUUCAUCCACCAGGUGACACAGUAAUCAUUGUGCAGCCCAUACCUGUAGCCGUACCUAUAGCUGUAACGAGUCCUGUGGCUGAGAGCAUCAGCCUAGGCCCUGCCAACUGCCUAGACCCUGCCAACAGCCUAGACCCUGCCAAUCCAGUGGUUGACAACCUGACCAGGCCAGUGGCUGCUGAGAACCCAGGCGAAACGUUGCCGGAGUCUAAAUGACUCGAAAGUGACAGUGUGGAUGAGCAUCGCCAGGGGAGGGCAGGUCCUCGUGCCCCUAUUGUGAUCCAGCCACAUUCCAUCGCCAUCGAGGUUCCAGAGACCUCCCAGCCUGCAGCCAGCCAGCCCACCUCCAAGCCGCAGCAGUGACCCUUCCCUCCCAGCCCCAUCUACCCGCUGGAGCCCUCCCCUACGGUGGGCAUGGCCAGGCCCCUGUGGCCACACAAUGGAGCCCCCAGCAGCCAGCCAGGCCAACCGUCACUAGUGCCAGUCAACCAGCCAGCUAGUCAACCCCCCCAUACUGUGGUACAGAUCUAACUUAAUGGACAUGAGCGGCAGGCUGCCAAGAGACCAGGACUCCUUCUGACAUGAUAUGUAUCUGUCUAUCCACCAAACUGAGGAUUGGAACACUCUAUCCCUCCAUUUCAUCCCUCCGUUUCUAUCCUCCCUCAUCUAUCCCCCCUUUCUCUCUCUUGUCUCUGUUAGAACGCUGUGGGAUUGGAGACUCUCUUUUUAAGUUCAGUCGGUGUUUUAAAUGGCCUGAGCCAAGCAUUCCACCUCCCUGGAGACUAAAGCAUGGAUCAGAGGAAGUAAAGGCUCCCAAACAGAUUGCAUGUGCUUCAUUUUAACUGCAUGCCCCUAUUGUACAGCACUGGCAAAUACAUCCACACCCCUGUACUACAGCCACCACCCCACCACUGCCAGCGAUACCGCCAGCUGCAGGUGCACCUACAGUAGUAUGCCACACAACCAGGGAUCUCCCCUCCACCGCCACCUGAAAGAGACCCAAGAGUGGGGCUGGAUACAGUAGAGAUUCAAGAACAGUGAAAAUGUUGGGAAAAUGUGUUGAUUGCUUAAUUUCAUUGCUAACUGUCACAAUUAUGUUAGUUUGACCAAAGCCAAACUAGAUGCCACUCACUCCAUGUGUUCAACAGUCAGCUCCCAAAGAGACGUUUCUCCUCAUGCCACUAGAGCUAACCUGAGAGGAUUGUUUAAUUGAGGUGCAUGUAUGUAUUUGGGUCUAUUAUGCACUUCUGAAACCUGUGAAGUGGGUAAAUGAUCAUUUCCAAUGGACUGUUGGCUAACAUGGGUCCAGCCAAGUGCUUACUGAAACGCACAGUCAGUACAAUGCACUCUGUAUUGGGUGGAACUGACUACUGACUACAGCUAGCUAACUGCAACCAAACGACUUAUCAAACGUUUCCCAUCUCAAAUGGUGGUUUUGCUUUGCAUUCUCCUCAUAGUCUGAUGUAACAUGGAGAUACAGGGGAGUGGGUAUGUACUGUAGGGGUCUGUUUGACCUAGCCACUAAAGACCAUGCUGUGCCACAUCCUAGAUGGCUGCUUUGUUCAUUGUACUGCCUACAGAGAUAUCCCAUCACUGAAUAUUUGAGAAGUAACACAACAGGCUGUUUUCCAUGGGGUUUUAGUGGACUGAUUGCCAUGUUUAUUGUUUAAUGGGCUGAAGAGGCACGACUACUAGUCUCAGUGAUGAGAUGAUACAAUGUCCCACAGCAGGGUUAGGAUCUGUAAAGAUCGCCCAACCAGCAGUUUAUCUGUACUUAAGUACAGCUCUCUUUAUAACCCUGGGGUGCAGUCAGAGGUUUCUCAAUGUUGUGUAAUCAGAAUAGUGAAAACAGUGAAGUGAAUGAAUGUCAUAUUGUCAUUGAGAGUCAGUCAGUCCCAGGUGUGCAUGUGUGUGUGUGUGUAGCAUUGUACAAAAUCGUUGUUGGUUUGUUCAUGUAGUGCUGAGGUCAGUCAGUCAUUCAUCCCCCUCCCAGUUUUUUUUUGUGGUUUGUAAUUUGAAAAGGGUGUUCUGUGUUUCCUGAAGAGGGGCUAGUACAUGGCCUUUAACCACCUUGUGUUUUGGCUGAAGAACCACCCUGAAGAUAAGCUAAACUAAAAUGAUGUCAUCAAAUGAUGUCAAGCAGCCAUUUUAUCUUUUGUAGCUCUCUCCUGGGUGUUUACAUAGAAAUGAUCUAUCAGCAGCAUCAUUUUGUUACUGGAAUUAUUGCACCUUUUCUCACCUCUUCAUAUCAAUAAGUUAACAGCUAAAACCCACCUGAAAUUUCAGACUGUUGGUUGUGUUUUCACAAACCAUAAUAAACAUAACAGUACAGUAUCUGGCCCCAGGGCUCAGAGAGGAGGAAUAUAUUUAUUCUGGUGAUCCUUAUCUGCUGUAAAUAAUAAUAAUCACAACCACUUGUCACAUGCAAAUAACAUUAUUUGAGAAUCCCUAUGAAUGGGAAAUGUUUUAAGAAUCAACCCCAUUUAAAUGAUUUUAUUUUUUUAUGUCAAACCGAAAGAGCUGUUUUAAUAAAACACGUUGACAGACAGUUGGGAAGAGCGAACCCUAGGCUAGCCAACGUGGUCCUUACCAAGGAGCAACUGGUUGACAGAGGAGCUAGGCUAUGUCUUAACUGGUUGACAGAGGAGCUAGGCUAUGUCUUAACUGGUUGACAGAAGAGCUAGGCUAUGUCUUAACUGGUUGACAGAGGAGCUAGGCUAUGUCUUAACUGGUUGACAGAGGAGCUAGGCUAUGUCUUAACUGGUUGACAGAGGAGCUAGGCUGUCUCAGCGGGUUGACAGAGGAGCUAGGCUGUCUCAGCGGGUUGACAGAGGAGCUAGGCUGUCUCAGCGGGUUGACAGAGGAGCUAAGCUGUCUCAGCGGGUUGACAGAGGAGCUAGGCUGUCUCAGCGGGUUGACAGAGGAGCUAGGCUGUCUCAGCGGGUUGACAGAGUAGCUAGGCUUUCUCAACUGGUUGACAGAGGAGCUAGGCUGUCUCAACUGGUUGACAGAGGAGCUAGGCUGUCUCAACUGGUUGACAGAGGAGCUAGGCUGUCUCAACUGGUUGACAGAGGAGCUAGGCUGUCUCAACUGGUUGACAGAGGAGCUAGGCUGUCUCAGCGGGUUGACAGAGGAGCUAGGCUGUCUCAGCGGGUUGACAGAGGAGCUAGGCUGUCUCAGCGGGUUGACAGAGGAGCUAGGCUGUCUCAGCGGGUUGACAGAGGAGCUAGGCUGUCUCAGCGGGUUGACAGAGGAGCUAGGCUGUCUCAGCGGGUUGACAGAGGAGCUAGGCUGUCUCAACUGGUUGACAGAGGAGCUAGGCUGUCUCAACUGGUUGACAGAGGAGCUAGGCUGUCUCAACUGGUUGACAGAGGAACUAGGCAAUGUCUUAACUGGCUAGGCCACCAUAGCUCUGGUCUACAGUAACAGGCAGGCAGACAGUAAGUGUAUAUCUGCUUUGAGUGUAAGGCCAGGGCUGUCCCCAUGUCAUCACUCCCCUAUAGAACAUGGGACUAUGGGGACUCGGCCACUAAUAAUAUGAUUGAUGAUUGUAAUUUUGUCAAUGCUUUCAUUAUGUCAUUCAUUAUUCACCAUGAUGUCGUUCAUGGACAAAAAUUAUCUGUAAAUGUGUAUUUAUAUAUAAUGAAAUUGAAACAAUUAAAAGGGGGAUUUGUACAAUGUU